rnacentral:lncRNA from 1 species
AUUAAAAGUUCUAUACCCUUACUGAAUAGUUAAACACUGAAACUCAUCACUACAGGUUUUCACUGAUAAGUAUAGCCCUCUUUAGCUCUGUUUGAGGAGGGGGGGGAAGCAUUUAUUCUGAUAAAAAUAUCCAGAGAUAGGGAGAGAAGAAAAAAAUAAAUCCUCACCUCAUGUUUCAGGGUUAAAUCAAUUCCAAGGCAGCAGUGAUUAGGAUGGCUGCAAACUAUUCCACAUCUGCCAAGUAUAAAAUUUCUCACACCAUCCUUUACAACACACAGGGCUGCCCACUGUCAGCCAAGGGACUGAUUCAAAGUUCCCAGCUAUCUUUAUGUUGCAGAUAUUCUUAUCACACAUUUGCUCCAAACUGCUGCCAUCACAGAAAGUGUUUGAUGAAAGAAAAUCUUUUCUUUCUGUUGCUUAAAGAAAAUAGAAGUCAAAGGAAGAAAAAAAACAGAUACCAGGCUUCUGCUGACUCUGAGUGGAGUUUCAUUUCCAGCCACACAAAUAAGGGCAGCAACAUGGCAUGACACUAUACAACAAUUCAUCAGUGAGUCAUCAGCUGCCCUGUUCAGUCAUGGAACUUGGUCACUGAAGUUAUGCUAUGCAGAAAGACCUGUUGGGCAAGGAAGCCACACAGAUGAUAAGGUACCCAAUAGUCUUAUGCCUUUGGCCCCAUUGUGGAUUUUGAGAACUCAGAUCUUGCAUCUUAUUAUGGAAAAGACCUGAAAGCAUU